rnacentral:rRNA from 1 species
CCGGUACAGAGGGCAGCUACCUGGUGACAGGAUGCGAAUCUCGAAAGCCGGUCUCAGUUCGGAUUGCAGGCUGGAACUCGCCUGCAUGAAGUUGGAUUCGCUAGUAAUCGCGCAUCAGCCAUGGCGCGGUGAAUACGUUCCCGGGCCUUGUACACACCGCCCGUCAAGCCAUGAAAGUCGGGGGGUGCUUGAAGUACGCUUACCGCAAGGGGCGCCCUAAGGCAAAACCGAUAAUUGGGGCUAAGUCGUAACAAGGUAAC